CGACGCCUGCACGCCUUAUUUGGUCAUCGUGCACUCGCGCGCUUCAUUCGGGCUUUUUAUGCUAAUCAUAUAUUAAUGUCCAGCUGUAUGCAGUCGUAGUAAGGAGCAUGCGCAGUGCGUGACAAGAAAACGAAGAUUCAAAGUUUUCUUUCGGUUAUUUUACGCGUGCAAAAAAGGGAGACUAUGUUUGGCUUUCACAAGUCAAAGAUCUACCGGAGUAACGACGGCUGUUGCAUCUGCAAAACCAAGUCAUCAAGCUCGCGUUUCACAGACAGCAGUCGAUAUGAAGACACGUUCCGGCUCUGUUUUGGGCUGUCUGAGGACCGUGUUGGAGACAUCUGCAAUGCCUGCGUGCUGUUGGUGAAGAGGUGGAAGAAACUCCCCAAUGGCUCCAAGAAGAACUGGAACCACGUGGUGGAUGCCAGAGCUGGACCGGGCUUCAAAGUGACAAAACCCAAAAAGAUCAAGAACAGCGACGGCAAGAAGAAAAGCAAGUUGAAGAGGCUUCACAAGUUGAAGAGGCAAAUAGACUCGGAUGCUCACAGCACCACCUCCAGCGUGUCUCCCGCCCAGUCGCCCAGCUACAGCAACUUGUCCGACGACGGCUCGGACAUCGAGUCCAAGCAAAGGCGUUCAUCACCUUCCGCUUUCUCUUUCUUGGACCGCUCCUACUGGAAAAGGCAAAAGGUUUGCUGUGGGAUUGUAUACAAGGGCCGCUUUGGUGAGGUGAUCAUCGAUCCUCGAGUCUUUAAGCCCUGCUGCAAUUCGAAAACGCAGAAGACUCUGGCAUCCACGCAAGUUCCCUCCCUCCUUCCGGAAACGCUCCCGCCACAACUCCCGGAGGAAAGAAACCUGGUGAUGGCUCUCGUUUAACAUCGCAAGAGUUGUCCAAGGAACUCACCCGGAAUUUGUCUCCAGUGGCAGACUUCCCUUUUACCAUCUUCUUUCGAUCAGUUGGUUAGAUGUAUUUUUUUCCCACAUAUGGAUAUUGUUUUAACGUUUGUAUAGUUUUUCUUUUUGUAAAAUACAAAACACAAAAAAAACAAACAUGAACUUAUGGGCAUUAGUUUUAUUUAUAGGAAGAGGAGAAAAAUUCAGCGAAAACUCAUUAUUUUUGGUUAUCCAUGUGUUUGGUGUGUAAAUAUUUUGUCACUUUCAUACAUAUCAAGACUGUUCUAUUUUUCCAUGAUAUGCAUUUUGAAAAAAAAAACACCAGCUAUUUCCAAUAUCAGUUCCCUCCCCCCUCUGUGUUGGAAUUACUCCUGCACAUGAUGCUGCAAACUUUUAUCCUGUCGUCUUUCACUUUUUUGGAGAGUACACACGAGGGUGGAUGCUAGCGACACGUUCCGAGCGAAAUGAAUUAAAUUAGAUUUUAAUAUUUUUGUCAAAGAAAGCAAUUGUGAUGUUUUUGGCAGAUUAAGCAUGUCAUGCAACAUUUUUUUUAUCUGAUUAGAAGAUGCAUGCAAUAUGUUUCUCGGCCUUUUGGAGGCGAAUAAAUUGCUUAUUUAUUUCGUUUGUAUAGCCACAAAUGACAUGAAUUUUUUUGUUGUAAAUAGUUAUGCUCCACGCAAACAAUUCUUUACAAGAAUGGGAAACCACUACUUAAGCUUUUUAUGCCAUCCCAGUUUACCAUUCCUAUUGACGAUUAUGCUAAAACUCAAUUCAAAGCUCAGAUGUAUUUUUAUUUGGUUAAAAGUUCAGGGAAGUGUAAUAUAUUUGAAAUAGUGUGCAUAGGUGACUGCAUGUGAUUUGUCAUGUCAACUGUCAAAAACUAUGCAGACAUUCUGAAUGUGUGACUUGGGGUCAAUCACCGUCUCUCAGUGUGACGUGACCUUGGUCCUGAUUCUACCAAAUUUAAUUGUAUAAAGAGCCCAUAAUCACCAUUCAUUGUUAUCAUCCCAAAUAUGUCCAAUGUUCAUGAUGCUCAGGUUGCACCACUGUGAUAGCCAUGGCACGCUGUCUCUAUGCCCCUCCCUCCCCCUCCUUUUUUUGGGUUAAACCAUCAGAACUGCUCUUGAUGGUGGCAGGGUUAUUUUAUUUUGUUAAGGUUCUCAUUGAAAGGAGAAUUGCUGGCUCCUUUUCAAACUGCUUGAUAAGCUUUUUGGCAUGUGCAUUUUUGAAAGUGAGAUGUGCCUUAAUGAAUUACCUGACCUUGUCUUCUCAUGUAAUUUAUAUUUAUUUAUUGCAGAAGGGUUUUUUUUUCUUUUUUUACUGAGAUAGCUGGUGUAGAAAAUGUUUUUGCGCACUUCCCGUGAACAUGCAAACUUACAAUGUUCCUCAAUUUUUGUAUACUGUACCACCGUGUAGAGCUGUACUGUAAUAAGUUGAAAUCGAAUAAAACGGUGUCAUU